rnacentral:rRNA from 1 species
UGGGGAAUAUUGCACAAUGGGCGCAAGCCUGAUGCAGCCAUGCCGCGUGUGUGAAGAAGGCCUUCGGGUUGUAAAGCACUUUCAGCGAGGAGGAAGGUGGUGAACUUAAUACGUUCAUCAAUUGACGUUACUCGCAGAAGAAGCACCGGCUAACUCCGUGCCAGCAGCCGCGGUAAUACGGAGGGUGCAAGCGUUAAUCGGAAUUACUGGGCGUAAAGCGCACGCAGGCGGUUUGUUAAGUCAGAUGUGAAAUCCCCGGGCUCAACCUGGGAACUGCAUUUGAAACUGGCAAGCUAGAGUCUCGUAGAGGGGGGUAGAAUUCCAGGUGUAGCGGUGAAAUGCGUAGAGAUCUGGAGGAAUACCGGUGGCGAAGGCGGCCCCCUGGACGAAGACUGACGCUCAGGUGCGAAAGCGUGGGGAGCAAACAGGAUUAGAUACCCCUGGUAGUCCACGCUGUAAACGAUGUCGAUUUUGGAGGUUGUGCCCCUUGAGGCGUGGCUUCCGGAGCUAACGCGUUAAAUCGACCGCCUGGGGAGUACGG